rnacentral:lncRNA from 1 species
UUAAAAUAAUAAAUAACCAUAAGUGGCCUAGUGGAGAGAGAGCAGUUUCACUUGCUUUAGUGGGAUGGGUUAGAUACUUGGGAGUAGUAUAUCUCCAUAUUUAUUUUUUAAUGCUUACUAUUUAAUUUAAUUUUUUUCAUAUCUUAUUGCUAUUUAUUUUAUCUUUAUAUUUUUAUCAAUUUAAUUUGAUCGUUAUUUAGUUGUUUAUAUUUUUAAAAUUUACCUUUUAGAUUUAAU